rnacentral:rRNA from 1 species
AUUGAACGCUGGCGGCAUGCCUUACACAUGCAAGUCGAACGGCAGCACGGGAGCAAUCCUGGUGGCGAGUGGCGAACGGGUGAGUAAUAUAUCGGAACGUGCCCGGUCGUGGGGGAUAACGUAGCGAAAGCUACGCUAAUACCGCAUACGAUCUACGGAUGAAAGCGGGGGGAUCGCAAGACCUCGCGCGAUUGGAGCGGCCGAUAUCAGAUUAGGUAGUUGGUGAGGUAAAGGGCUCACCAAGCCGACGAUCUGUAGCUGGUCUGAGAGGACGACCAGCCACACUGGGACUGAGACACGGCCCAGACUCCUACGGGAGGCAGCAGUGGGGAAUUUUGGACAAUGGGCGCAAGCCUGAUCCAGCAAUGCCG